GACCACAUCGCAGUCUGCUUCUACCAACUCCAGAAUCUCCAGGAAAGGAUGAGGCACCAGGGUGUGUUAGUGCUGGUCACUCUGCUGGGUUUCCUGUUGGCAAACCAGCUCAACCAGGUUAACGCUAAGGAAGAUGUGGCUGUCAGUGGGCCCAGAAAACUGGAUUCUGCAGAGAUUGAUCCUAUUGCUGAAAAGCAGG